ACUCGCUCGGUGCACACGCCGCGCCGCGGGCAGUGCCGCCUGCGGAGGCGCGCUCGGGGCCCGCAGGGGCAGCAGCGGCAGCCUGGCAGCGCCGCCGCGCCCUCGGGCAUCUGGCCCGCGAAGUUUCGCCCCUGCCGCUCUCCGCGCCGCUCGCCUCACGCCCCCCAGCGCGGCCGCCGCCCGACGCGCGCUCGCCCUGCGCUCGCCGCGCGCCGGCUCCGGGGGCGGCAGAAGCGCGCGAGGGCCGCUGCCCGCCUCCCUGCGCAGCCCGCGGCUCCUAGGCACCCUGCGUUGCUGGGCCCGGCGGGCGGGGGUGGGGCGGGGAGCGGGGCGCGGGCCGAGCGGGGGCGUCCCGGCUCCGCGGUCCCCGGCGGCUGCUGCAGCGGCUGCUGCGCGCAAUGAUGCGGGUCCGCGCCGCGUCCCAGCAGCGGCGCUGCCCCUCCCUUCGCCCAGAUGUGUGAAUCCUCCUCCUACAACAAAUCCUUCAUCCUGCUCCCUGCCGCCCCCUCCCAGGGGGCCAACUUUGAGGACCGCAGGGGCUGCCGCCCAGGCGGCCGCAGGCGGCGGUGUCUAGGCGGAAAGGAGCGGCGCGAAAGCGGCGGCGGCGGGGACCGGGGCCUCGGGGCGAGGAGUCUGGGCGGCAUGACCGCGGUUUGCUGAGCUGAAGUCGGUCGUGCUCCCAGAGCCACUCCGCGGGAGCGAACCGAGUGUGUGUGUGCGCGCGCGCUCGGGGGAGAAGGGACCAAGAGGAGGGUUAGGGAAGGAAGCUGGGGUCAUGGAACAGGGGUGCAACCGAGGCAUCCAGAGCGGCCGGAAAGCCCGAGUGGCGGAGAGGCCAGAGGUGGCGAGAAGGGGCGCGGCGGCACCGGACGCACCGCCCAGCACCUGGCUCCCCUGGGCUCCCGAGGAUCUGAAGGGUCGGAGCGCGGAGAGCUACGGAGCCGACCCUGCUUGGGGAAGGGGACCGAGUUGCUGCUGGAGUUGGGAAAAAUUAGCAACCGGAGGGAAUAGGGAUGCAAUGAGUUGCUGUUGCUGCUUCAAACUGUUGUUUGUUUUCACUUAAAAUACUAAAGAGUCGGAGACUAGUUUAAUACUCAGUUACUUCAGCUUCACAGCAGUCCCAGCUGGGUGUGGAUUCCUAGUGGAGAUGCACCAGCCUCCGCUGAGCACCGGCCUGAAAGCUGUGAAGCGGCUGCUACCUGCAGAGACAGGCUUCGGAGCCCGCUGCUGCCACCUGCGGGCGGAAAGCUGAAGGGCGCAACAUGCUGGCCCAAGUGGCUGCCCCUGGGGCGUGGAUAUUUAGGACCAAGUUUCCUUUUUAGCCCUGGCAGCUAAGGAAAGCAAUCCUAACUUUUCCAGGAAGUGAAGAUUAUUUGUUGAGAUCCACUGAGGAACUGACUCAUUGGGGUGAAGUGUCGCGAUUGAUAAGAGGAUGGUUUAGGGAGCUAAAUAGCAAACAGCUCCCUAGCACCCUUCUUAAGAGAUUAAGAUGACGAAGCCACAUCAAGCAGAGAGCUCUCUGUAGCAACUGGAACUUGGCGCCUACUGAGAAAAAUGGCAUUUAUACAGGAUAAAGUUAUGCUGGGAACCACAAAUAAGGAUCCCGAAUGAUUGCUUCCUUUGAAUAAACAUUAUGACGUAUCAGAAUGACUAAAUACAAAUAAAUUGAAUAGGGCAGAGAGACUAUUCUCCAGAGCCUGGCACUGAAUUUUCAGAAACGUUUCGUCAGUCCUAGGGAGCCAAAAAGGGAUUAACUUUGUUAAAUUUAUGGAGCACAGAUAUUUUAUUGCUAUAAUGAGAAUGUCUGGUUUUAAUCGACCCAUUUGUAAAGGGGCUUUUCUUCUGAAAAGUGUCUUUCAAUGUUUAAUAAAAUUCCCAAGAGCCCAAUAUGUGCUCUUAGGCACUGCA
rnacentral:lncRNA from 1 species